rnacentral:rRNA from 1 species
UACGGGGGGUGCGAGCGUUGUCCGGAAUCACUGGGCGUAAAGGGCGCGUAGGUGGUUUGAUAAGGGUGUGGUGAAAGUCCGGGGCUCAACCCCGGAUCUGCCGUGCCGACUGUCAAACUCGAGGACUGUAGAGGCAGACGGAAUUCCGGGUGUAGCGGUGGAAUGCGUAGAGAUCCGGAGGAAGACCGGUGGCGAAGGCGGUCUGCUGGGCAGUUACUGACACUGAGGCGCGACAGCGUGGGGAGCAAACAGG